GUCGAACGAGAAAGUCCCCUUCGGGGGAUAAGUAAAGUGGCGCACGGGUGAGUAACACGUAGGUAAUCUACCUUCGGGUGGGGAAUAACCCAGGGAAACUUGGGCUAACACCGCAUAAUGCAGCGGCACCACAUGGUGACAGUUGUUAAAGCGGGGGAUUUUCGGACCUCGCGCCUGAAGAGGAGCCUGCGGCGGAUUAGCUAGUUGGUAAGGUAACGGCUUACCAAGGCGACGAUCCGUAGCCGGCCUGAGAGGGCGGUCGGCCACACUGACACUGACAUACGGGUCAGACUCCUACGGGAGGCAGCAGUCGGGAAUUUUGGGCAAUGGGCGAAAGCCUGACCCAGCAACGCCGCGUGAAGGAUGAAAUCCCUCGGGAUGUAAACUUCGCAAGAAUGGGAAGAAUUAGCGAGCGCUAAUACCGCUCGUGAUGACGGUACCAUUUGUAAGCUCCGGCUAACUCCGUGCCAGCAGCCGCGGUAAUACGGGGGGAGCAAGCGUUGUUCGGAUUUACUGGGCGUAAAGGGCGCGUAGGCGGUCAGCACAAGUCAGUUGUGAAAUCUCCGGGCUUAACUCGGAAAGGUCAACUGAUACUGUGCGACUAGAGUGCGGAAGGGGCAACUGGAAUUCUCGGUGUAGCGGUGAAAUGCGUAGAUAUCGAGAGGAACACCUGCGGCGAAAGCGGGUUGCUGGGCCGACACUGACGCUGA
rnacentral:rRNA from 1 species